GGUCACUCCAUUAAAGGUCAAGGACACAGGGGCCUGAACAUUGAGAACCAUUUCCGGUCAGUAACUUCAGAACCACUUGACCCAGAAUGUUGAAACUUAACAGGAUGAUUAGUCAUGCUGAGUAGAUGACCCCUAACGAUUUUGGGGUCACUCUGUGAAAGGUCAAGGUCACAGGGGCCUGAACAUUGAAAACCAUUUCCGGUCAGUAACUUCAGAACCACUUGACCCAGAAUGUUGAAACUUCAUAGGAUGAUUGAACAUGCAGAGUAGAUGACCCCUAUUGAUUUUGGGGUCAGUCUAUUAAAGGUCAAGGUCACAGUGGCCUGUUCAUGUAAAAUCAUUUUUGGAAAUAACUUGAGAACCACUUGACCUACAAACUUAAUAGGAUGAUUGGACAUGCAGAGUAGAUGACCCCUAUUUAUUUCGAGGUCACUUGAUCAAAGGUCAAGGUCACAGGAGCCUGAACAGUGACUUGAGAACCACUAGGCCAAGAGUGUUGAAAUUUAGCGGGAUGACUGGACAUGCCAAGUAGAUGAUCCCUAUUGCAGCCAACCAUCAGUGUCUCUUUGACUUUCGCUCCUGACCCCUAUUUACUUCUUGCCUAUAGGACUUUGCAUUGGGGGAGACAUGCGCUUUUUUACAAAAGCAUUUUCUAGUUAUUAUAUGUCUUCAGAUUUAUUUUUAAGUUCUGCUUUGCAUUAAUUAUGUUACUGCUGUCAAUUUUUAGACUUUUCUUACAAUGAAUAUCUGCAUAGGGGAUUGCUUUUCAGAUAGUUUUAGGCCUCUUUUAAGAUUGAUUGUGUUUUUUUCAACACAUGCUGUUUUUCAUUGCAUGGAAGAUAGUUUGGAAAAAAAUUAAGAAUAAGCAGUAAACAUUGAAAGUAUGUGUGUUUUGGUGAAUGGCAAAACAUGGGCUUGAUUCAAAGUGCUCUGACUGCCCACUUGUGAUAUAUUCUGCUCAGUUUUGGGAAAUGAUGAAACUUUUUUAUAUAAAAAAUUAUGUAUGCAAGACAUAAUAAAUUAUAUAAAUAUAUAUAUAUAUAUAUAGAACUACAUUUUUUUCUAGAUGUAUUUGUAACACUAUCACUUUAGUAGUGUAUUAACUUUUACAAGGACUUUUGUAUUUUUGGACUAAAGAUGUGUAGCUUUAAGGGCAUUUUGUAUCCUUUGAAUUGCUCAUGUUUUUUGUUGACUGUGCUGCAAAACCAAAGAUUGGCUUCCAAUAUGAGAAUAUUCAUAUAUCAGUACAUUUUAUUGACCUGAUUUAUAUGUCAGCUAAAUGUGCAAUUUCAUAUUUUUCUUUUCUAUUUAUGUCAUUAUGUGAUACAGUAAAUUGUGCCAUUUUUAACUCAUCUGAGCCAAAGGCUCAUGGCGAGCUUUUGUGACCGCUUGAUGUGCGUCGUGUGUCCAUCAACAUUUCUAAAAACAUCUUCUUCUUGAAAACCACAGGGCAGAUUUACACCAAACUUCACAGGAAUGAUCCUUGGGUGGCCCCCUUUCAAAAUUGUUCAAAGAAUGAAUUCCACACAGAACGCUGGUUGCCAUGUCAACCAAAAGGAAAAACUUAAAAAAUCUUCUUGUCCAAAACAACAAGACAUAGAGCCUUGAUAUUUGGCAUGUGACAUCAUCUAAUGGUCCUCUAUGAAGAUUGUUCAAAUUAUGCCCCUGGGGUGAAAAGAGGCCCCACCCGGGGGGUCCCAAGUUUUACAAAGACUUAUAUAGCGGUAGGGAAAAACUUUAAAAAACUUCUUUUCUGAAACCACAAGACCUAGGCCUUUGAUAUUUGGUAUGUAGCAUUGCCUUGUGGUCCUUUACCAAAAUUUUUCAAAAAUUUACUCAUGGGUGAAAAGAGGCCCCACCCUUGGGUCCCAAGUUUUACAUAGACUUUUUGUAGGAAAAAACUUUAAAAAUCUUCUUGUCUGAAACUGCAAGGUGUAGGUUUUUGAUAUUUGUUAUGUUGCAUUGCCUAGUGUUCCUUUACCAAAAUUGUUCAAAUUAUGCCCCUGGGGUGAAAAGAGGCCCUGCCCUGGGGGUCCCAAGUUUUACAUAGACUUAUAUAGGAAAAAACUUUAAAAAUCUUCUUGUCUGAAAGUUCAAAGCGUAGGCCUUUGAUAUUUGGUUUAUAGCAUUGCCUAGUGGUUCUCUAACAAGAUUGUUCAAAUUAUGCUCCAGGGGUGAAAAGAGGGUCCGCCAUCCGUCAGUUUGUGCGUCUGUAAACUUUUGCUUGUGACCACUCUAGAGGCCAUAUUUUUUAAUUAGAUCUUCAUGAAAAUUGGUCAGAAUGUUCACCUUGAUGAUAUCUAGGUCAAUUUCGAAACUGGGUCACUUGCGAUCAAAAACAAGGUGAGUAGGUCUAUCAAUAGAAAAACCUUGUGACCUCUCUAGAGGCCAUAUUUUUCAUGGGAUCUGUAUGAAAGUUGGUCUGAAUGUUCAUCUUGAUAAUAUCUAAGUCAGAUUUAAAACUGGGUCAUGUGCGGUCAAAAACUAGGUCAGUAGGUCUAAAAAUAGAAAAACCUUGUGACCUCUCUAGAGGCGAUAUUUUUCAUGGGAUCUGUAUGAAAGUUGGUCUGAAUGUUCAUCUUGAUGAUAUCUAAGUCAAGUUUGAAACUGGGUCAUGUGCGGUCAAAAACGAGGUCAGUAGGUCUAAAAAUAGAAAAACCUUUUGACCUCUCUAGAGGCCAUAUUUUUCAAUGGAUCUUCAUGAAAAUUGGUCAGAAUGUUCACCUUGAUGAUAUCUAGGUCAAGUUUGAAACUGGGUCACGUGCGGUCAAAAACUAGGUCAGUAGGUCUAAAAAUAGAAACACCUUGUGACCUCUCUAGGGGCCAUAUUUUUCAAUGGAUUUUCAAGAAAAUUAGUCAGAAUGUUCACCUUGAUGAUAUCUAGUUGGAGUUCGAAACUGGGACACAUGCCAUCAAAAACUAGGUCAGUAGGUCAAAUAAUAGAAAAACCUUGUGACCUCUCUAGAGGCGAUAUUUUUCAUGGGAUCUGUAUGAAAGUUGGUCUGAAUGUUUAUCUUGAUGAUAUCUAGGUCAACUUCGAAACUUGGUCCUGUGUGGUCCAAAGCUAGGUCAGUAGGUCUGAAAAUAGAAAAACCUUGUGACCUCCCUAGAGGCCAUAUUUUUCAAUGGAUCUUCAUGAAAAUUGGUCAGAAUUUUCACCUUGAUGAUAUCAAGUUCGGAACUGGGUUAACUGCGGUCUUUUGUUAUGGCAUCUACUCUGAAACUACUUGGAAACUACUCUCCAAGGGAGAGGACAACCUUAAGCUUAUAAAGCUUCCUGUCCAAUCCUUUAUUGUAUAUUUGUAAUCAUGUUGUAAAUAUUGAAAAAUAAAAUAUGUUUAAACCAAACUACUUGGUGGUUUUCAAUGAAACUUAGCCACAAUGAACUGGAUUGCGUGUGGACAGGUGAGCAAUUCAGGACCAACAUGGUCCUCUUGUUUAAAUAAAGAAACUAAAAUCAAAACAGAAAUGCAAUCAAAUUAUUUUAUAUAAAGUUGAUUUUAUUGACAUACAUACAUACUUAAACAUAAUGCAGGUUUAAUGUUGAAGAAGUUUCCACUCCUUAAUAUGGAUCAUGUGUAGUAGAAAAGUGUGAUACUUUUUAACUUUAAACUGUAGCGAAAACAUAUUCUAUCAGAAUUAAUUUGAAUGAAAGCAGUUUUUUAUUCCAGUUUUAUGCGGCGCAAGUAGCAGAUCAGCAUGGUACAAACAUUAACAAACUUUUGUACUAUGCAUAGAUAACAAGUGCAAUAUACCUUACAGAAGGUCAUAAAAAUAGCAACGUUAGUCUGUUUAUUUAUUUAAAUGUUUUGUACUUGUAAAUAGUUCAUUUUGUUUUACUUUCUUACAGUGCAGUGCAUGUACUUCUCAUGGUUUCUUUUUAGGACAUUUUGACUGUUAUGUAGGAUUAGAUUGUGUCAAGGUGUUAAGUACGUUUAUUAUUAGGAAACAAAAUAUAUGAUUGGAUAUUUUUACUGAGGUAUUAUAGUGUGUGUGUUUUCAGAAAGUGGUUCAGUGGUUUAAAAGCAUGUCAGACAGUAUGCUAUAAAUUUUGAUUAUGGGAUACAUAGAAAACUGCCCACAUUUUUUUCCAGAUUUUGUAAAAUGUAAUUACUUUAUUUAAAAUAAUCUGCUUUUACUACAUUGAUGUCUUUUUUAAUAAAAAAACAUUUUAUUAAAACAAUGUAACAUAAAGCAUAAAACACUAAGUUACUGGUGCAUAAUUGUUUCCAAACAGGUAUGGGCAAUUCAGUCAUAAUGAAUCUUCAAAUUAAAUUUGUUUUAAGGGAGCUCUCUCUCUCCCUUCACAUGAAUUUUACUGUCAGUCAUGAGCUAGGAAUAAGUAUGUCAUGGAAAGCAGAAAAACAAUAUGAUGGAGGGCUCCUGUUGAACAGAAAUUGAAAUUGGAAGUGUAGUUUUUGGACUUGUGAAAGAGCAGCAUGUUAUCUUACAUGAAGACAUUAAACCAUAAGCUUUGUUGGGAGUAAUUAAAUUUGCUUACCAAAGAAGUGUAUAGGCUUCAUUUACCAUUACUAUUUUUCUUAUUCAUGCCUUAUAUUAUAAUACAGCGAGCAAGUAACUGUGUAAUAUUAUAUAUGUAUUGCAUAAUACUGAGAAUAUUUGCUAAUCUAGGAUAAAGAUAUUAGUUGGUGCUUUAGUAAACUGUUUACUGUAGAUCUGGUGUUAUUUGCAGUGUUUUUAUUUCUGCUAAUACUUGCAAAAUAUAAUAAAUAACUAAAAUUGUGAUACACAAAUUCAGAACAUUGCCUCCAACAGAGAAAACAGCUAUGAAGUACAUAAUUGAGGUAAUGGGAAUUUGGCUGAUGUAAUGGAAAGUAAUAAAAACAUGCAAAAAAUACCCUGUCUACAGUCUUAUUUGAAAAUGUUUAUACAGAUUGCAGACAGCAUAAUUGUGGUGUCUUUUUAUGUAUAUAUGUGUGCGAGAAACUUAAGUAAAAUUACGAUUUUCAAAAUAAGAUGAUCAAAAAAGUUUUUGUUUGUGUAUUCCAAAGUAUUAUAUUAAAUGUUCAUUAAAUGAAUAAGUAUUUUUUUUUUAUGCUCAGUUUUUAUAUUUUCUCUUGUUUCUUUUAUUGUAGCACACACAUAGAGAAGAUAAAGAAAACAUUCAGAACAAUAUCAGAAAUUGGUUGAAAUAUUUUUUAAAUGACUUAUUUUUCAUAUAUGAAAAAAAAAAAAAAGAAGAAAAUUUUACAUGUGCAGAAAAAAUGGAGCUGAAAGAAGAAUUUAAAGAAAGUGCAAAUUCACCAAAGGUUUAUAUUAAAUGUUUUAGUUAAGAAAGAAUACAAUUGCUAGCCUUAUUUAUGGAACUUUCAAAAUCUAAAUUGAUGGUAUUAAUUUAUAUCUGUAUAACCAUAUAAUAUACUUUCUCACAUAAUUUUAUGCAAACUAUUAUGCUUAGUCAAUUUUGUAUGACCUGAGUUAUUGCCCUUUGAAUAAUUUAAUCUGUAGAAUCUGUCCCUCCUAAGCCAUGUCUUGUUAUUGUUGCUCUAAUUUAGCUGAUAUUUGAUAUGGAUAUUUGUAUUUACUUGUAUCUACUUCUCUGAAAAUAAGUAAGUAUUACCAGAGUUACUUCCCUUCAACUGAUAACAAAAACUGCAGUUUUCAUCCUGCAGCCAUAUCAGUCACAUUGAGUUGAUAUUUGGUGUGGAUUUCUUAAACACUUAUACCUGCUUGCAUGCAAAUGUUGGUAAAAUCAGCCUGAUGCUAUCAGAGUUAUUGCCCUUGAUUUGGUUAAAAUGAUCAUUUUCGCUGAUUUUUUGUCAUAGUGUAGGAAUGCUAAUGGAUAUUAAUUGUUAAUGUUUGUUUUAACUGGAGGAUGCUGAUUAGACUCAACAUAAGUGCACCAGGGUUAUUUCCUUUAAAUUGAUUAAAAUCUGCAAUUUCUUUCCAUCCAGUGCAAAAUCUAGUUGAUUUUUUAAUGGUUUUAUAUACAAUCUUCUGAUUCUCACGUGUGCUGUUGAUGUAACAGUUAUAGCCCCUGAAGUGGUUUUUAAAAAAAGAAGAAAAGAUUUUACCUACAUCUCUGUUAUAUAUUAUUCCUAUUUCUGUAACAAAAUCAGCAGUGAAAUGAGCUUUUUUGAAUGAUUGGGACCAGACGUAUAUUUUGCAAAUGGAUAAUCUAAAUCAUAUAAGAAUCUUUCACUGGUUAGAGGUACGAAUGGAAAUAUCUGGCUCGAGGGUAACUGUUUAGGUGGUAAUGAGGCUCAGCUGAGGUACCAUGAAACAGUUGCCCAAAAGCCAGAUAUUUCAAUCCUCACCUUCAACUAGUGAUAGAUUCCUUUUCUUGCCUACCACAUUUAUAGAAGAAAUAUGAUAAAACAAUUGCUUUUCUUUUAAGCACUAUCUUAUUAUAGUAGCAUAUGAAUUUUUGCAUUCAUUCAUAAAUUUCAGCACAUGAGUCGUCUUACACCCCAGGGUGUAAACCCAGGGUGUAAGAUGAGUUUUUCCAGUACCAGAAAAAUCAGGGGAAAAUCCUGUCUGGCAUGCCAGAAUUAUUUGCUUGUAAUCCAUUUGCGAUGCAUCUAUUAAUCAACAUUUUGUAAUACUACAUGAAUCAUUGUAAGUUAGUUAAUGUUUUUAAGAAAAUAUAUCACAGUCAGCUAAUUCUUCAUUGUUUUUAUAUGUUCCUUUUAUAAAUGAAUAGAUUUGUAAGAAACCAGUAGAUUUGUCAGAUUUCUAAUGGAUUUUAAUGCUAUAUUUUUGCUGCCAUUUGUUAAACUUUAAUAUAUAUUGGUUUAACAUGAUAUAGUCAUAUUAAAUUUUCCUUUAUUUUAGUUGUGUUGCCUGCAUUCGAUGGCUUAUUCUGUUGAUAUAUAGUACAGAUAUAAUUGUAAAAAUGUUGUUUUUUUAUCAAUAUAAUCUCUCAAACUUUUUAUAUUGCAUAAUAUGAUUUUAAAUCUUCAUUUUUAAGUUCAGUAUAGAUUGUUGUUGUAAGACAGAAAGAUGGGGUUUGGACUUAGAGCAUUGACUUCAAAACUGGUAUGUUGAUCUGGACAUUUGUAUCACAUGGAGUUUUGUUGUGUUAGUUUGUGUAUAAAUUGAGUGUAACAUGAAAAGUAACGCAACCAGCAAGACAUGAUACAAAUGUCAAGAUGAUCACAUUAGUGCCCUUUUUUUUUAUCGACUUAUACAUGUUGUAUUGAUAUCGACUUGGUGUUUUCUGAACCAAUAUCACACUGUCUGGGCAGUUUGAAGAAGUACUUUUUUGGUCUACUUCCGUAAAUUCUGGAAAACUAAAGUGUAAUACAGGUUCAGAACACACUGAUCCAGUGGUAGGAGAAGAUAGUGUAUCAGUGUAACUGAUAGAUCCUGUAUUUUACAUGGAAAAUAUAUAGCUAGGUAAUAGAAUUUUUGUUAUCAGUUGAUCCCUAAUUUUACACAUCUCCCAGUUGUAUUUCAUAUUUUGUCAUAAUUUACAUACAUAAUCUCAACCAGUUUGCAUGCUUACUGAAAUAUGAAUUGUGCACAUUUUGUGUUGUUGAUUUUAAAGUACAUUGUAUGUUCAAACCAUCAUUUGAAAAGCCAAAAGAUAGUUUUUUUUAUUAAUGUGGUCUUUCCUCACAUGUCAAAAGGUACUGCAAGUAUUUUAAUUGGAAAAGAAAAUAUAUUGUGAGUGUUUUAAUUAGAAAAGAUACUGUGAGUUUUUUAAUUGGAAAAGAAAUGAUACUGUGGGUGUUUUAAUUGAAAAAGAAACUAAUAAUCUAAUAAUCGUUAGUACAAGGUGGUCAGUGUUAAUUUUUAUUCUUUUUAAUGUCAUAUCAAUUUUGUGACUUUUUGGUUGUUCUUUAAUGAUUUUACUGAAGUUUGAGGCAAUGAUAGUAUAAUGUAUCUGUUUACAAUUUUCUGUUUUGAAGUAAAAAUCAAAAGAUUAAAAACGGUUUUAGCCAUGUUCUAAUAUACAGUUUGCUUGGACAAUUUUUAGCUCACCUGUCACAAAGUGACAAGGUGAGCUUUUGUGAUCGCGCAGUGUCCGUCGUCCGUCCGUGCGUCCGUGCCUGCGUCUGUAAACUUUUGCUUGUGACCACUCUAGAGGUCACAUUUUUCAUGGGAUCUUUAUGAAAGUUGGUCAGAAUGUUCACCUUGAUGAUAUCUAGGUCAAGUUCGAAACUGGGUCACAUGCCUUCAAAAACUAGGUCAGUAGGUCUAAAAAUAGAAAAACCUUGUGACCUCUCUAGAGGCCAUAAUUUUCAAUGGAUCUUCAUGAACAUUGGUCAGAAUGUUCACCUUGAUGAUAUCUAGGUCAAGUUCGAAACUGGGUCAUGUGCCUUCAAAAACUAGGUCAGUAGGUCUAAAAAUAGAAAAACCUUGUGACCUCUCUAGAGGCCAUAUAUUUCACAAGAUCUUCAUGAAAAUUGGUCAGAACGUUCACCUUGAUGAUAUCUAGGUCAAGUUCGAAACUGGGUCACGUGCCUUCAAAAACUAGGUCAGUAGGUCUAAAAAUAGAAAAACCUUGUGACCUCUCUAGAGGCCAUAGUUUUCAAUGGAUCUUCAUGAAAAUUGGUCAGAAUGUUCACCUUGAUGAUAUCUAGGUCAAGUUCGAAACUGGGUCACGUGCGGUCAAAAACUAGGUCAGUAGGUUUAAAAAUAGAAAAACCUUGUGACCUUUCUAGAGGCCAUAUAUUUCACAAGAUCUUCAUGAAAAUUGGUCAGAAUGUUCACCUUGAUAAUAUCUAGGUCAAGUUCAAAACUGGAUCACGUGCCAUCAAAAACUAGGUCAGUAGGUCAAAUAAUAGAAAAACCUUGUGACCUCUCUAAAGGCCAUAUUUUUCAUGGGAUCUGUAUGAAAGUUGGUCUGAAUGUUCAUCUUGAUGAUAUCUAGGUCAGGUUCGAAACUGGGUCACGUGCGGUCAAAAACUAGGUCAGUAGGUCUAAAAAUAGAAAAACCUUGUGACCUCUCUAGAGGCCAUAUAUUUCAUGAAAUCUUCAUGAAAAUUGGUCAGAAUGUUCACCUUGAUGAUAUCUAAGUCAAGUUCGAAAGUGGGUCACGUGCCAUCAAAAACUAGGUCAGUAGGUCAAAUAAUAGCAAAACCAUGUGACCUCUCUAGAGGCCAUAUUUUCAUAUGAUCUGUAUGAAAAUUGGUCUGAAUGUUCAUCUUGAUGAUAUCUAGGUCAAGUUCGAAAGUGGGUCACAUGCCAUCAAAAACUAGGUCAGUAGGUCAAAUAAUAGAAAAACCUUGUGACCUCUCUAAAGGCCAUAUUUUUCAGUUGAUCUUCAUGAAAUUUGGUCUGAAUGUUCACCUUGAUGAUAUCUAGGUCAAGUUCGAAACAGGGUCACGUGCAGUCAAAAACUAGGUCAGUAGGUCUAAAAAUAGAAAAACCUUGUGACCUCUCUAGAGGCCAUACUUGUGAAUGGAUCUUCAUGAAAAUUGGUCAGAACGUUCAUCUUGAUGAUAUCUAGGUCAAGUUCGAAAGUGGGUCACGUGUCGUCAAAAAGUAGGUCAGUAGGUCAAAUAAUGAAAAAACCUUUUGUCCUCUCUAGAGAUCAUAUUUUUCAUGGGAUCUGUAUGAAAGUUGGUCUGAAUGUUUAUCUUGAUGAUAUCUAGGUCAAGUUUGAAACUGGGUCAACUGCAAUCAAAAACUAGGUCAGUACGUCUUAAAAUAAAAAAACCUUUUGACCUCUCUAGAGGCCAUACCCUUGAAUGGAUCUUCAUCAAAAUUAGUCAAAUUGUUCAUCUUGAUGAUAUCUAGGUCAAAUUUGAAACUGCGUUACCUGCCAUCAAAAACUAGGUCAGUAGGUCAAAUAAUAAAAAAAACUUGUCACCUCUCUAGAGGCCAUACAUUUCAUGGGAUCUGUAUGAAAGUUGGUCUGAAUGUUCAUCUUGAUGAUAUCUAGUUCAAGUUUGAAACUGGGUUAACUGCGGUCAAAAACUAGGUCAGUAGGUCUAAAAUUAGAAAAAUCUUUUGACCUCUCUAGAGGCCAUAUUUUUCAAUGGAUCUUCAUGAAAAUUUGUCAGAAUUUUUAACUUGACGAUAUCUAGGUCAAGUUUAAAACUGGGUCACAUGAGCUCAAAAACUAGGUCACUAUGUCAAAUAAUAGAAAAAAUGACGUCUUACUCAAAACUGGGUCAUGUGGGAACAGGUGAGCGAUUCAGGACCAUCAUGGUCCUCUUGUUUAGUUUGAGACUGUUAUUUUAUAACUAGAUACAUGUAUACAGAUAAAGAUAGUUUUAGAAACACACAAAACUGUUUCCUCAUGAUAGCUGAGACCAUAAUUAUAUGACAGAAAAUUUCAGGGACUUUAGGGUUGUUUUGAAUUAAUCAUUUAUUCCUCGUUAUGUAAUAUACUAGGAACCAGGACCUACCUAUGCAGUCAUGAAACGGAAUUUAAAGAAUUUAUUCAGGAAGGAAAAAAGCACAGACAUUCCCCUUAGUCAGUAAUAGAUGAUGUUUGGUAGUGUUGCUGUUUACAAACAAUACAAGCUCUAAAGCAGAGACAACCUGGAACACUCUGAUAUGUUAGUUCUACUGAGGUUGUUAUUGUGCAGAGGUUAAUGUAUUAAGAAUUCUGUCUUACAGGAAGGAAAACAUCUGUCUUUGUAGAAAGGUUAUUGCUGUUCAAGGAGGUCAUCAACAAAGGCUAAUCUUUACUUUUAUUGGCCACAGCUGUAAUAUUUUCAUGAGUCAGUGUGGUAUGUGUAUUUUGAGGCUAGACCUGUAAGAUAGACUGUCACUUUAUUUUUCUCUAGCACUGUAUCUUUCUCUCCUCUAGGAACACUUCCUUUUGUCUAUCUACCAUGUACAGUAUUAUGUCUCCCACAUGUAGUACAUAUUGAUUAAGUGUUGUCUAUCUGUCCAUCUGUCUGCACAAAGUUGCCCAUGCAACUCCUCCAACACCACUUGAAGAUUUACACCAAACUUCCCAGGAAUGAUCAUUACCAAGCUUAGUUGUGCAUAUAAUUCGCAUUUUCUGGUUUGAUAAUUUUCAGCAGAGUUAUGCCUUUAUGAUCAAAUUUUACGAUGUUUGGCCAUUUGUCUUAUAUUAUUGGACGGAUUUCCCCCAGACCUCACAGGAAUAAUCAUGACUAAGCCGCAUUGUGCAUAUUUUGGCAUUUUCUGGUUCAAUGAUUUUGGUGAAGUUAUGGCCCUUGAUUCGUCAAAUUUUAUAAUGUUUUGGCCACUUCUUUUUCUUACUGGGUGGAAUUCCACCAAACUUUACAGGAGUUAGAAGUACCAAGCCUCAUUGUGCAUAUUAUUAGCUUCUUCAAGUUCAGUGACUUUCAGUGGAGUUAUGGCCCUUGCAACUGAUCCAAUACAACAGGUGGAAUUACACCAAACUUCACAAAAGUGAUCAUUGCCAAGCAUUUUUUGUGGCAUGCAAUUUCUGCGUGGAAAGUUCUUGGAGACAUACGUUUUGUUUUUUUUUUGUAAAAAAAAAAAACCAACCUCUAACUUUUAUUCAUUCACACUUCAACAAGAUAUGGUAAUUCCUUUCUGUUUCAUUUCUUCAUAUUUUUUCAUAAUGCAUAGUUAUAACCAUCUAGUCAACAAAAAUUGUAUAGCAUUGGUAGUGAAGUGAAGUGCAUUGAAAUGUCAUGAAAUUCAUUAAAAUAUAGUGAAUGCGAAUCUAAUAUAGAAGUGCCAUAUAUUUUCUUAAUAAAAUCAUGUUGUUGUUGUCCUAUGUAACAAACUUUCAAUACACCUCUAAUUGGCUUUCUAGACUAUUGUGUGUCAUGGGCUGACCAUUCUUGAUUACUAUAGCAUGAAGUCAUGCAUUUCCAGACAGUUUCAUUCAUACUUUCAAAAUCAACAAAUAAUUGCAGCUACUUAAACUUUUUGCUGUUGCAAAUUAUUUUUCUGAACAUGCAUGAGAUAUGUCUUGAACAAAAUAUUGUUGAGGUAUUCUCUGUAAUAAAACAGAGUUUGUAUCAUGUUCACUAUUGUAUUUAUACUCGUAGCAAGUAUGGUAUACCCAUUUAAAUAGCAAAGGUAACUAAUUAAGGUUAUGUAAGUUUUAUAUACAAGUUUAAAAUCUUUUAUGUCUAUAUUUUAAGUGAAAAAUACAUGCACAUUCAUUUGCUAUUUUGUGUACAACAUUGUUAACUGAGAAGUAUUUAUAUUAAUGCCGUAGGUAAUUUAUUAAAACUGUAUUAAAACUUAGUCUGAAAUGGCAUAGAAUUUUUCAUGCAUACAUGUAUAUACCUGGGGAAAAAUACACAGAUUCCAGCUUGCAUAUUGUCAAGUAAGGAAGCAGUAAUCAGAGUUUCGGAUCCAAUUAAUUUAUGAGUUUAAGAAUAAAAAAGAAUGUGAAAGUGCAGAAACUGUUGUCGUCAAGGGUUACAGUGUAAUUUAAUUACUAAUUGUAUUCUGUACUCUAAGAAUGAAUUACUUAUUCAGAGUAUCAAAACCAGUGAUUUAUAUGUAAGAAAAAAAGAAACCAUUUUAAGAAAAAUAAAUGUGCUACCGAGCUUAUAUAAAAUAAUAUACACGGAACUGUGGUACAGUUGAUAAGUUAUUCUACUGUGUAGCUCAUUUUAUACCAAGUACUGAUUUUUUUAUUGCAAUGUUGUUUUAGCUCUACUGGCCCAAAAUGCUAGUAAUAGCUUAUACUCUCUUAAGUUGUCCCUCGUAAACUUUUACAAAAAUAUCUACUUCUCCAGUGUGAACUGUAAUCACCAAAUUGUUAUUAGGCUUGUCCUCAUUAAAGUAUAUUCCAACGGAGUCAGAAGUUGCAGAACUAUUGUCACUAUAACCAUGAAAAAGUGAUGCUUCUAAAAUAUUCUUACAUAAAACCACAAUAGCUAGAGCUUAGAUAUUUGGUGGGUAACAGCAUCUAACAAACCUAUUUCAACCUUGUUCAAAUAAUGACUCUGGUUUCUGCCAAAUUUUAUAUUGAUAAUGUUACAGAAAAAAAAAACGUAUCAAAAGGUCAGUUAACCUUUUGCCUGCUGAUGGCAAGUAAUUCUGCCUUUGUGACCGUGCCAAGCUGAUCAUCGUCUGCACUGUUUGCUAUUCACUCGGUGAAUUUUAAUUGAACAUCCCUUUGAUUAAUAAAUGGUACUGCCCAAAUUGAAUGAUAGACCAGUCUAUUUUAGAAAUUUAGCAGGGUAAAGGUUAAGCUAGAAAGGCCAGUAGAGGGUCAGGCCAUCAUGGGUCUCUUGUUUAUACACUUGUUCUGUAUGGAUGUUGUUUGUUAAUACUUGUAUUUUAACUUAGAGCUCAAUUAUUGUUCUGUCAGGUACUCUAAAGGACCAAUUCUUUUACUUUUCUUUUUUUAUCAUUUAUUUCUUUAAAGUGUUGCUGUUACUGACUUUUAAUCGGUAUACAGACUUUGGUAUACUGAAUUUUAAAAUUCUAAUUUUAGUUACGACCUUGAUUUUGUAUCUUUCAAGUUAAAAUUUCCAGGAAGGUGGGGAUUCCUGCUUGGUUUGGGAACACCGAUGUAAUGAAUUUACGCUAGUUACAAUGAAUUUGAGGUGCAAAAAUCAACAAAAAAAAGAAAGGUGAAAAGUUUAUCAAAUUUGGUUUACACAUUUUCAACCUGGUUGUAAACCUAAUUUUACAAUUGAAAAAUUGUAAAUUUACACAUAGUGAACAACUACAUAGAUUUAUUGGGCAAGAUUAAGGGAGCCUCCAAGGCAGAUUGGUUAGGGUCUUUGACUAAGGAUCACUUGCCCCUCACCCUAUGAGUGGGAAAGCUUACUUGGUUGUAGAGACUGUCAAGUGAGGAAGCCAUCAAACUGACAUAUGGAAGGUCAGUGGUUGUACCCAGGUGCCUGCACGUACCUGAAACAACGCUCAGUGGAGCACCUUGGGCCUUCCUCCACCAUCAAACAAGGAGCACCUUGGGCCUUCCUCCACCAUCAAACAAUGCUCAGUGGAGCACCUUAGGCCUUCAUCCACCAUCAAACAAUGCUCAUUGGAGCACCUUGGGCCUUCCUCCACCAUCAAAAGCUUGAAAUUUGACAUACAAAUUUUUCAAUGACUUUAAAUCCAACAAAACGGACAAGUUUAAGCAAACACAUUGCCUUUUUAUAGGAAUUUCCUCAAGGCAUAAUUAUUGUCAACAAGAAAUCACUGGUAUUGUCUAUUUUAAGUAGAAUUUCUAAAGGAACAUUCCUAAGUUUUACAGACUUUUUGGAAAACUGCAACAGAUUUUUCUAUGUAGCAGAAAAUAUUUGAAAAUUACUGGUGAGAAAGAAGCUGGCAAAACAAAAGACUGAAUAGAAAAUGUCUAGGUUCAUAUGAAGGUGGAUUUCUUUAAAUUUUCUAUAAUGUCCUUUUUCCUUUUUCUACAGUUUUUUAGCUUUUGUCAUCGCGUGGCGUCCGUCGUCCGUCCGUCCGUGCGUGCGUGCGUGCGUUCGUGCGUGCGUAAACUUUUGCUUGUGACCACUCUAGAGGUCACAUUUUUCAUGGGAUCUUUAUGAAAGUUGGUCAGAAUGUUCAUCUUGAUGAUAUCUAGGUCAAGUUCGAAACUGGGUCACGUGCGGUCAAAAACUAGGUCAGUAGGUCUAAAAAUAGAAAAACCUUGUGACCUCUCUAGAGGCCAUAUUUUUCAUGAGAUCUUCAUGAAAAUUGGUCAGAAUGUUCACCUUGAUGAUAUCUAGGUCAAGUUCGAAACUGGGUCACGUGCGGUCAAAAACUAGGUCAGUAGGUCUAAAAAUAGAAAAACCUUGUGACCUCUCUAGAGACCAUAUUUCUCAAUGGAUCUUCAUGAAAAUUGGUCAGAAUGUUCACCUUGAUGAUAUCUAGGUCAAGUUCGAAACUGGGUCAUGUGGGAUCAAAAACUAGGUCAGUAGGUCUAAAAAUAGAAAAACCUUGUGAUCUCUUUAGAGGCCAUAUUUCUCAAUGGAUCUUCAUGAAAAUUGGUCAGAAUGUUCACCUUGAUGAUAUCUAGGUCAAGUUCGAAACUGGGUCACGUGCGGUCAAAAACUAGAUCAGUAGGUCUAAAAAUAGAAAAACCUUGUGACCUCUCUAGAGGCCAUAUUUCUCAAUGGAUCUUCAUGAAAAUUGGUGAGAAUGUUCACCUUGAUGAUAUCUAGGUUAGGUUUGAAACUGGGUUACGUGCGGUCAAAAACUAGGUCAGUAGGUCGAAAAAUAGAAAAACCUUGUGACGUCUCUAGAGGCCAUGUUUCUCAAUGGAUCUUCAUGAAAAUUGAUCAGAAUGUUCCUCUUGAUGAUAUCUAGGCCAAGUUCGAAACUGGGUCACGUGCGGUCAAAAACUAGGUCAGUAGGUCGAAAAAUAGAAAAACCUUGUGACCUCUCUAGAGGCCAUAUUUUUCAUGAGAUCUUCAUGAAAAUUGGUGAGAAUGUUCACCUUGAUGAUAUCUAGGUCAGAUUCAGAAGUUGGUCACGUGCCUUCAAAAACUAGGUCAUUAGGUCAAAUAAUAGAAAAACCUUGUGACCUCUCUAGAGGUCAUAUUUUUCAAUGGAUCUUCAUGAAAAUUGGUCAGAAUUUUUUAUCUUGAUGAUAUCUAGGUCACAUGUGCUCAAAAACUAGGUCACUAUGUCAAAUAAUAGAAAUAACGACGUCGUACUCAGUUCAACACUGGGUCAUGUGGGGAUAGGUGAGCGAUUCAGGACCAUCAUGGUCCUCUUGUUUUUUUUUGUAUAAUAGUCUACAGGUUAUGAGUUACACUGUCAUUUAAGACAGUUUUCUGUCUUUUUUCUUCCCAACAGUACCACCAAACUUUCUGCAUAUUUAUGAUUGUAAUAUUGUGAUGUUUGUAUUAAUAGCAUUUUGGCUCACCUGAACUUUAUUCAGGGUGGGCUAUUAGUAUAGGUGGAUGGUUCUGUGUUGUCCUGUAUCAACAUCUUUAUUUAAACAUCUUUUCGUCUUUCUGAAACUACUGUUAAACAUGGUCUGCAUAGACCUUUUCUCCAGAAUUAAAAAUAGAAAAACCUUUAAAAAAACUUCUUUUCAUGAACCACUUAAACUUCUUUCAGUUUUGUGUAAAUGGUACUGUCCCUUUUAGGAUCUUUAUUAAAAAUGUCUGUAGCAUCCUUGUAUGGACCUCUCUUAAGUUUGUUCAAAUGAUUUUGCUUGGCCCCUUUUAGGGGCUGCUGGAGUUAAAAUAGAAGUAGCUUUAAGUGACUUUUCUCUUAAACUAUUUUGUGAAUCUCCUCAAACUUGGUAUAUAAAAAACAUUGCAUGGAUCUUUCUCAAAAUCAAGAAAAAGGUUUAGCACAAACCCUUUUAGGAACCAUCAGAAUGAAAAAAGGAAAACCUUAAAACAAGUUUUCAUGAACUGCUUGAUGGAUCUUCCCCAAUCUCUGUCUGUAGCAUCCUUACAUGGACUUUUUAUCAAGAUUUUUCAAAUGGUUCCAUGUGACCCACUUUAGAGCCUCCAGAGCUAAAAGUAGACACAUCUUUAAAUAUCUUCUUCAUGGACCAAACUUGGUCUGUAACGCAUCUUGGUUGAACUGUUGUUCAAGCAUUUUUGAUCAUCACAACAAAAAAAAAAAAAUAGUACAGGCUUUAUUAAAUAUUUAUUGAGCCUAACAUUGCUAGAAGCAAGGUCCUCCUACAGUGAGCAACUAGGGCCCAUUUGGGUCUUUUGUUGUAAAAUUUAUAUUUUCUUCUUAUUUUCUAUGUUUUUACUUACAAUGUAUAAGCAAGUGCUAUUCUUGUGUGUAAUGUAUAUAUAUAUAUGAUUAGUUCUUUGUAAAUAAAACAGUUCCAUUUAAA